rnacentral:rRNA from 1 species
UACGGGGGGCGCAAGCGUUGUUCGGAUUUACUGGGCGUAAAGGGCGCGUAGGCGGUCAGCACAGGUCACUUGUGAAAUCUCCGGGCUUAACUCGGAAAGGUCAACUGAUACUGUGCGACUAGAGUGCGGAAGGGGCAACUGGAAUUCUCGGUGUAGCGGUGAAAUGCGUAGAUAUCGAGAGGAACACCUGCGGCGAAGGCGGGUUGCUGGGCAGACACUGACGCUGAGGCGCGAAAGCCAGGGGAGCGAACGGG